UACGUAGGGUGCAAGCGUUAAUCGGAAUACUGGGCGUAAAGCGUGCGCAGGCGGUUAUGUAAGACAGAUGUGAAAUGCCCGGGCUUAACCUGGGAACUGCAUUUGUGACUGCAUGCUAGUAGUGUGUCAGAGGGGGUAGAAUUCCACGUGUAGCAGUGAAAUGCGUAGAUAUGAUGGAGGAAUACCGAUGCAAGGCAGCCCCUGGAUAACACUGACGCCUCAUGCACGAAAGCGUGGGGAGCAAACAGGAUUAGAACCCUAC
rnacentral:rRNA from 1 species